UUCUUUUUUUUUUUUUAAACCACAGUAUCUGCAGAGAAGACAGCAAGAGAAUGCUCAGAGGCAGAGCCGCGGAGAACCUCCACUGCCCGAGGAAGACAUAACCAAAAUGUUCAAGCCACCUCAGGCUCCUCCAAAGAUGGAUACACUGCUUAUUGCAGGUCAGAUCAACACCUACUGCCAGAACAUCAAGGAGUUCACGUCCCAAAACCUGGGGAAACUCUUUAUGGCCGAGGCUCUGCAAGGGCACAGCAGCUGAAAAGGAAGACACGAGGCUUCCUCGAGGUCAGCAGCCAAGGCCAGCUAUGGAGUGGAAGAUGGGGGGGUAUUUUACUGGUGUCACAGUGGUCUUUCAUCUUUUCAAAUGGAUAAAGUAACUUACAGUAAACAUUAAUAAACACUUCAGCUUAA